CGCAGCCUGGCGUAUUAGCCAGACAGUCAGUCCUCGAGCCGAUAAUGCUACACCCGGGGACCACCGUACGCUGUUGUUGCGCAAAUCCGGCACGACCGGAGAGCCUGAUGCAGCACGGCGGUCACCACCUUGAGCCUCAGGGUUCAAGGGCGACACCGUCAGCGGUACGCUGGGUUGCCU
rfam:Marine gamma proteobacterium HTCC2080 1100755000534, whole genome shotgun sequence.